rnacentral:rRNA from 1 species
GACGAACGCUGGCGGCGUGCUUAACACAUGCAAGUCGAACGGUAAGGCCCUGCUUUUUUGGUGUGCUCGAGGGGCGAUCGGGUGAGUAACACGUGUGUAACCUGCCCUUGAUUUUGGGAUAACUUCAGGUAAGUGGGGUUAAUAUAGUACAGGAUCUCCUGCUGCAUGGAGGGGGUGGGAUAGUUUCGGCGGUUGGGGUUGGACGCGCGGCUUAUCAGCUUGUUGGUGGGGUAGUGGCUUACCAAGGCUUUGACGGAUCGCCGGCCUGUGAGGGUGACCGGGCACAUUGGGACUGCGAUACGGCCCAGACUCCUACGGGAGGCAGUAGUGGGGAAUAUUGCACAAUGGGAGGAAGCCUGAUGCAGCAACGCCGCGUGCGUGAUGACGGCCUGCGGGUAGUAAACCGCUUUAGCCUGUGACGAAGCGUGAGUGACGGUAAUGGGUAAAGAAGCACCGGCUAACUACGUG